rnacentral:rRNA from 1 species
AUUGAACGCUGGCGGCAGGCCUAACACAUGCAAGUCGAGCGGAUGAAGGGGGCUUGCUCCUGGAUUCAGCGGCGGACGGGUGAGUAAUGCCUAGGAAUCUGCCUGGUAGUGGGGGGUAACGUCCGGAAACGGGCGCUAAUACCGCAUACGUCCUGAGGGAGAAAGUGGGGGAUCUUCGGACCUCACGCUAUCAGAUGAGCCUAGGUCGGAUUAGCUAGUUGGUGGGGUAAAGGCCUACCAAGGCGACGAUCCGUAACUGGUCUGAGAGGAUGAUCAGUCACACUGGAACUGAGACACGGUCCAGACUCCUACGGGAGGCAGCAGUGGGGAAUAUUGGACAAUGGGCGAAAGCCUGAUCCAGCCAUGCCGCGUGUGUGAAGAAGGUCUUCGGAUUGUAAAGCACUUUAAGUUGGGAGGAAGGGCAGUAAGUUAAUACCUUGCUGUUUUGACGUUACCAACAGAAUAAGCACCGGCUAACUUCGUG